CCGGUAUUUAUGCAGGUCUUCCACCUGGUGGACACUCCCCUAGGGGACCAGAUGGAAGACUGGGACAGAAGUAACACAGUAGCCAAUCACAGUGGCUAUAGGAUAAACACUCCCCUUUACACAAAUCACUCCCUCUUUCCCAUCCUGGAGAUAAUUAGAUUAAGGUAGCAAAGAGAGCUGUAAUUAUCUCCAGAAGUAAAGAAACAUGCCUUUUUAUAUUUAGCAAAAACAGAAUAAAAAUACAUAACUUUCUUUUUAUAUAACAUAAACUUUAAGUUCCACACAUCCCCAGAUAGCUUGGAUCUGAGUGCAUAUUCUAGGCGAAUAGCGCUCAGAUCCCACGAACACAGGUCCCAGAAUCGUCGACUGAAGUUUGGCUGUCCUUGGCCAUUCGUGUAUUUGUAACCGAUUGCCAGUCCUCUAUUAUAGCUAUCUGGGGUCAGCCACGUUCGCAUACUUUAAUGCGCGAAUAAAAUAUUAUCCCUUCCUUCGAAUGGUUCCACCGUAUGAACGAGGAUGGGUGAAGGUAGCAGCGGCGUUCGACAAAAUAGGUCGCUGAAAUCAGUUCCA